CUAGUCCAUUUAAUCAAUAAUUUUGAUUCAUUGAAUUUUGUCAGUUUAAUCUUGAAAAAAAUUAAAGAAUUGUACCUUAUUGAAAAAUGCAGACAUCUAAUAAAUCGUUGUUUUAUUUAUUUAUGCCGUAUAAAAUUUAAUUUAUUUUAUUUGUCGAAUACAACAAGUGAAAUUCUUACAAUUUUCUUUUAUAAUUUAAUUUUUUAUAUUAACGCGAGAUAUGUCGGUAAGUAAUCGACGUGCGACGUGCGAUAAUAGUACCGAUCGUGGGACGUGGAAUUAAAUACAGGCUUUCGUUUCGAGAUGGCGCUACUAUCGUCGCCAUGUUUGAAUCAUUAGUUCCUUGAUACAGCGCGCGUCCGGAACAAAGGUUUUUUCAACAGUUUAACUGUGUGUUCUCUGUAACUGCAUCACUACUGUGCUUUGUUAAAAUGAAACGGAUAGACGAUCACAUGGUGAGUGCGAGAGGGAGAUAAGGUUUUUCGAUCGCAAACGCGUUUCUGCCGGCUUUUCAACCAGUUUAUUCGAACUCGAACGUGAUCGAUACUGUAUGACAAAACGCGCGCCGACAUUUUGGUUACGUUUCGAAAUUUGUAGAAUGUUUGUCGCGUUCGUAACGUGAAUUAUAGAUCUUGAAUACUACCGAUGUUAUUUCGAAGCUCGUGCCUCGUUCGGAUUCAUACAUCGCAUUUCGUCGAGCGUACCAGCGUUUCGUCGCGCCGCGUUUUCGGGAGUGCCGACCGACAUUUAAUUGAAAACGAACCGCAGCCGGUUCGUCGCGUCGCGCGUGUGCUUAAUUCGGGAGUGCCGUUUAAGUAAACGGACUAAAAAGACUUGUCUGGUAAUUCCCAUGAUGUAACUUGAUUGAGUGAUACCGCUCAUCCCUCUCGCUCGAUUUUACUUGUAAUAAAGAAAAGGAAAUAUUAAUAAACUUUAGAAAAUAAAACUCAAAAAAAUUUUCUUGUUCUAAAUAAAACUCCCUUUGAAUUGGAAAAUAUCAUGGGUUUUAUAGAUUAGUCUUAUUAGUUUCACGCGCGAUUAUAGUGUAUUACUCGCGUGUGUUCUGUGCAACAAGAGGAGCAUGAGAUGCAGGCCUGGGAAAGGUAUCGGGUCUCGGCAGAGCAACCUUGGGAAUCAUUACAGCGACGUUGCUGAACUCUGCCUCUGCGCAUUAUUCGAAAUCAUCGCCAUCAAAAGAAACUCAGAAGGUCCAGAAUUUAUUCCCUUCUGUAGCGGGGUCUCUGAUGUUCAACGAGUCACUUAACUUCUCUUACAAAGGAUCGAUCUCACAGAACCCGAGAAGCAAGCAGACGGAUUUUGAGCUAAAAGGCAGUGAAAGUGUUCCUGUGAAGCAUGACGAGAGUAAUGAUACUCACACUAAUGCAACUGCACAGGGAUACCUCCACUAGUUCAACAUACAUCGAUUUGCUCGAACUAUUGGCAUACACCAUUUCUUCCUACCGAACGGUCACCAUCUCUGUUCUUCUCAUCGAUAUAAAAUAAAAGGUAGAAGCGAUGCCAACAACUAGAUCACACCAGGGAGGAAAUAGACGGAUCGUCGCUACCUCGAUGUAAUCUUGUAGGAAACCGCCGGUGUUAAUUCCAAGAGUCAUUCGAAGAACACGUUAGAUAUCUUCUCUGUCGUGAGACGCGUAAUACGGCACUUCGGAAGGAUUUAUGAGCGUGGUUUUCACGUUCACUGAUGACGCCUCGUCUACCGGUAAUGCGCGUUCCACGGAUUCUUUUUCGCACCUAGCCUCACGCAUGCACGUACGUACGUACGCUCAUCAGCUCUGCAUCCACAAGUAUAUAUGGACAAGAGAGAAGGCGAAAAUACGCGGCAAUUAACCCGCCGUCAAGAUACGCACUCGCGAUAUCGGGCUGCCUGACUUUGCUUCAGGUGCCUCGAAGAAUCGCGAGUGCGAUCAGCGAUAUAUCAUCGCUUCCUCGCGCUGGAGAAAGCGGACUUUUAAAGCGCAGUCCCGUGGCGCAAAAAGAACGCGCAUGCAUGCAUGCAUGAAGCUUUUGCCUUUCGGGAAACAUGCAAUGCCUCAUAAGACUUUCGAUUUUUUAAACGUGACGUUUCGCAACCGCGCGACUUUCGACUAUCAUUCUGAUCUUAUUGGAUAAUGCGUGACGUCCGAGCUGAAUAAGUGAUAUUUUUGCAUUUACGUAUUUAUAAAUAUUCAUAAAUAUUUUUAUCAAUUGUAUAACGUUUCGUUAAAAUAAAUACGUAUUUUAAUAUGCUUGAAUUAUGAAAAGUAUUGUGUUUGGAAAAUAAUAUUUUUAUCAGGAUUUGAGAAAUUUCCUUCUCGAUUAUGUAACUAUCGUGAACGUUUGUUUGUUUUCUUCCUAAUUCUUAUUUGUACCAUUAUUUCUAGAAGAUAACUUUCAACAACGCAUAUUAUGCACCGCAUUGAGCAAAUUAUAUGUUCCGGUGAAACCGUGAAAUUGCUCCCGAACUCCAACGUUAACAACUUCCUCGGUCAAAGUAUAAUUUUGAAAAGCAUUUGUGCGAAAGUCGAUCGUCCGCAUUAAUUAACGACAGUUUAACGGCAUUGAUAUUAUUGCAUCGCUAAAAACAGUAAUAUUCCGUCAAACUUUGUAUCACUUUUAUUUUACUAUUAAUAAAAAAAUGAAAAUUUAAUCAAAUUUAAUCAUUUCAUAUUAUCAACAACAUAUUAUCAAUCAUUUCAUAUUAUCAACAUAAAAUCGAUAUUAUUUUAUUCUGAAAAGGCGUGUUAUAUUUUUAGAAGACGUACCAUUCAUAAUAUUACUCUUCUAAGUCUGAUAAUUUAAUACUUUAUCAGAUUGCAUAUUUUAAAAUUAACCCAAGAAAUGAAGAAAUUUUUCCCUGUGAAGUAUUAAAGCUAAUGGAAUCCGAGAGCAUUGCUGCUAUUUCUGAUAAGUUCUGAUAAGUUAUUAAUCGUAUAUCGGUAAAAACAGAAUAAUCAACAACUUUAUAUUAACAUAAUAUUUUCAUGUAUCUACUUUUCUGUAUCUCUGUAAUGUCUUUACCUCUCGCCGUCUACAAAUAACGAAAUAAUUCCUUCGCAAGGUAAGUAAAAUUUAAAUCUUGAAUGCAUUCCAAAAGAACAGGUUAUUAUAAAUGCUUAAUUUCUAGUUAGUCAAACAAUAGCGGCUUUUAAGGAUUCAGAGAGCAUCAGAAAAGGAAUAAUAUUAAGACUAAAACUGAGCAUCAGAAAUAUGAGUAUUCAAAGAUUUUUUGACUCAAAAAGCAAAAAAGUACAUAAUAUUUUACACAGAAAUUUUUCUAUAAGUUGUAAAUUGCAAAUCUAAAAAGAUUUCAAAAAUAUAGACAUCAAAAUCUUAGAUGUCUACAUUUUUAAAACAGGUAUGUAAAAGUUUUUUCAAACUUUAGAUAAGUUGUUCUUGAAUACUCUUUUCAGUAACUGUACUUACGUAUUACAUUUUGUAUGAAUGCAAAGCUUUUUCCGGUAUAAAAUGUCUGUAGAAAAUGUCUGUUUAUCUAAAAUUUAUCGAGUAAAGCCAAGGAACCAGAAAUGCUUUCAUAUAUACCUCUUUUCUCCAGAUCUCUAACAGCAUUUAAUAAUAACUCAGCAAACAGACUGAUUUGGGUUAAAU